GAAGCCGGCAAGGUGGUCGCUUGCCCCUCGGGGCAAGAGGAAAGUCCGGACUGCACAGGGCAGGAUGGCUGCUAACGGCAGCCGGGGGUGACCCCAGGGAAAGUGCCACAGAGAGGAGACCGGCCCCCCUUCGGGGGGACCAAGGGUGAAAGGGUGCGGUAAGAGCGCACCAGUGCCGGGGGUGACCCCGGUAGCUCGGUAAACCCCAUCCGCAGCAAGACCCAAUAGGACGGCGUUCGAGGGUGGCCCGCCCGAUGCCGUCGGGUUGGUCGCUCGAGCCCGCGGGCGACCGCGGGCCUAGAUGAAUGACCACCCCCCGCCCCCCGGGGCGGGGACAGAAUCCGGCUUACCAGCCGACUUCGGCA
rnacentral:RNase_P_RNA from 1 species